GCAAAUCAUCGAGCGCAGGUGCCGGGCUUUGGCCUGGCCGACGAGGUGGAGGUUCAUCGAACAGUCAGCGGAUGCCUCCCGGUAAGCUGCAGACCGUAAGCUGUCCUACAAAUCCCUCUGGCAACAGAGGAACACAGAAGGGGCGGCGGCAGACG
rfam:Acidaminococcus fermentans DSM 20731, complete genome.